AUUGAACGCUGGCGGCAUGCCUUACACAUGCAAGUCGAACGGUAACGGGCCUUCGGGUGCCGACGCGUGGCGCACGGGUGAGUAAUACAUCGGAACGUGCCCGAUCGUGGGGGAUAACGAGGCGAAAGCUUUGCUAAUACCGCAUACGAUCUACGGAUGAAAGCAGGGGACCGCAAGGCCUUGCGCGGACGGAGCGGCCGAUGGCCGAUUAGGUAGUUGGUGGGAUAAAAGCUUACCAAGCCGACGAUCUGUAGCUGGUCUGAGAGGAUGAUCAGCCACACUGGGACUGAGACACGGCCCAGACUCCUACGGGAGGCAGCAGUGGGGAAUGUUGGACAAUGGGCGCAAGCCUGAUCCAGCCAUGCCGCGUGCAGGAUGAAGGCCUUCGGGUUGUAAACUGCUUUUGUACGGAACGAAAAGCCUUCUUUUAAUACAGGAGGGUCAUGACGGUACCGUAAGAAUAAGCACCGGCUAACUACGUG
rnacentral:rRNA from 1 species